UACGAAGGGGGCUAGCGUUGCUCGGAAUUACUGGGCGUAAAGCGCGCGUAGGCGGCUUUGUUAGUUAGAGGUGAAAGCCCAGGGCUCAACCCUGGAAUUGCCUUUAAGACUGCAUCGCUUGAACAUCGGAGAGGUAAGUGGAAUUCCGAGUGUAGAGGUGAAAUUCGUAGAUAUUCGGAAGAACACCAGUGGCGAAGGCGACUUACUGGACGAUUGUUGACGCUGAGGUGCGAAAGCGUGGGGAGCAAACAGG
rnacentral:rRNA from 1 species